rnacentral:ncRNA from 1 species
AGCCAUGCCCCUUGGCAAAACACAAAGCAAUGCCUCAUUCGUGUUGGUAGUCCCGUUUUUUUCGGGGUCGAAUACUCGGAGGUGAAAUAAGCAAAA